GCAGUAGCCAUCUUGUAACUAUGUUGCUUAAGCUUUUGUUCCUCUUACCUAAACCUCCAUCUUGUGGGCUUCCCUUAUUGUUUAAGUUUCACAUUCCUCCUAGUUACAAGGCUAGCCUGCAGCCUCGUCUCCAUGGUUACUCUCUGACCUCAGCCCUCAGAACUUCCCGCCCUUACUUGUUUAUAAGCAACCGCCUUGUAGCUAAUAAAUGAGACUUGAUCAGAUCCUUGACUUGUCUCCAUUCUCCGCCUCUCCUGUCUCUCUCUUUUAAUCCCCACUCCCUCCCUAGGGUCUCCGUUGCUCAUCCCGCGGGUCGGGACAAACUGGCGCCCAACGUGAGAGCUCGAGUACGAGGGACACAGUAAGGGACGCCGUCGAGGUCAGCCGGCACAGAAGGAUUAAGAAAUCUGGAGGAAAGAGCGUCGUGGGAACCUGCCAUGGACUCGCGCUCCGCCUGAUACCUGUUGCUGCUCUCGCCCUGAGAGGAAGGAAGGAAGACUACAAGUAGCAGCAAGAGGCCAGAAAAUGACCAGGUGGUGAAGUAUAUGUAUGUAAGUGCAGAGACUGAAGGCAAGAGAGUAACAGGCUUGGAGAAAAGCAGUCCCCGCGUCCUCCAGACCACAUACACUUGGAGCCAAGCCUGUAAGAUGGAGUUUCGCUGUUGUUGCCCAGGCUAGAGUGAAAUGGCAUGAUCUCUGCUCACCUCAACCUCUGCCUCUUGGGUUCAAGUGAUUCUCCUGCCUCAGCCUACUGAGUAGCUGGGACUAUAGGCACGCACCACCAUUCAUGGCUUAUUUUGUAUUUUUAGUAGAGAUGGUUUUCUCCAUGUUGGUCAGGCUGGUCUCAAACUUCCAACCUCAGGUGAUCUGCCCGCCUUGGCCUCCCAAAGUGCUGGGAUUACAGGAGUGAGCUACCACACCUGGCUAAAAACCUGUUAUUAAUAAACAAACUCAAAACAAUACCAAAACAAAAGUUUCUUUAUUAUGAAGGCCUCUCUUUAAAAAGCAAUUAGUAGAAACAAACAUGAUACUGUAUCCCAGAAUAUUAGCAUCACUUCCAGAAAAUUACUCCUAGUUUCACAGUAGUUUACUGGGUUCCAUGGUUUUGGGGAAUAGAAAAGCGGGUAGUACCUGAUAUACCUGUAUUCGGUUUUUUCUUUCUAGUGUAUCCUCCUUUUAUGGGUUGAAAGUGUCCCCUCGAAAUAUGUUAAAAAGUUCUAACAUAUGUUAAAAGUACUUGCGCAUAUGACUUUAUUUGGAAAAUAGGGUUUGCAGAUGAUCAAGUUAAGAUGAGGUCAUUAGGGUGAGCCCUAAUCUAAUAUAAUUGAGUCCUUACAGAAAGAGGAAAUUUUGUCAUAGAAGCUCUCCCUUAGAGAAGACAAUGUGGAUACACAGGGAUAAGGCCACCUGUUUAAUACCAGCCAAUGGACAUUUGAGAAACUAAGAACUCUUUCAAAAAAUCAAAAUGCCAGUUGUUUAUUUUGAGACAGAGUCUCGCUCUGUCACCCCGGCUGGAGUGCAGUGGCACAAUCUUGUCUCAUGGCAAUCUCUGCCUCCCAGGUUUAAGCGAUUCUCGUGCCUCAGGGGCCUCUUGGGUAGCUGGGAUUACAGGUGCAUGCCACUGUGUCCAGGUAAUUUUAUUUAUGUAUUUAUUUAUUUAUUUGGUAAGUAGGGAUGGGAUUUUACUGUGUUGGCUAGGCUGUUCUUGAACUCCUCCUGGCCUCAAGUGAUCAGACUGCCUCAACUUCUCAAAGUGCUGGGAUUAUGGACAUGAGCCACCACACUUGAUCACAUGCUGGUUUUCCGAGAGUCUGUUUACUUUUUGGUUUCCUGCAUAUACUCCAACGUCCACACCUUCUACCUGCCCACCAUGUUCUCACUUCUGUUUAAAUCAGAUUUUGAUUUUCUGAACAUCUGAAUGUUGAGUUUACUGGUGUCCUGGAAUACAUUGCAAAUGAUUCCUACUUACUUUUCACUGACACUAUGUUUCCUUUCACUGGGUAGGUUCUGCUUGCUUAAAUUUUUUAGGUGAAGGUACCCUCAGCACUUUAGAAGACAUAUGAAUUCAAAAUAUAAUUAUUUUUAGGAGAGUACAUAUAAGUACUCUGAACCAUGGAGUUCUAUUACAUGGAAGCUUUAAUUAUAAUUACCAGUUUUACAUGAUACAUGCAGUUAUCUAUGUACUAUGAUUCCUAUCUCCUCCCUUACUGUGAAAGGGCUGGUUAAUUGAGGAGAAUGUGAAGGUCAUUCCACCACAAAAUACUCUUAACUCAAGAGCAUUGAAGCAUUAACAAGAUUUAUUCUGAUUAUCGGUGUUUUUUUAAUGCAUCUCUUUUCAUUAUCUGAUUCACAUUUCUCACCAGUGAUGUCAGUCUAAAUGGUUGAAUAUUCUGAGUGUAGUAAAUGUAACAACACAGCACCUUAAUCUCACAAUAGGGUUUUUUUUUUGGUCUUAAUUUUAUCCUAUUUUAUCGUUGUCUAUUUUGGAAUAUGGAUCAGUAGCUUUUUUUGUUUUUGAGACAGAGUCUUGCUGCUCUGUUGAGCAGGCUGGAGUGCAAUGGGAUGAUCACAGGUUACAUCAGCAGCCUCAAUUUCCUGGGGCAAGUAGAUUCUCCCACCUCAGCCUCCUGAGUAGCUAGGACUAGAGGCAUGAGCCACACCUGGCUAUAUCUUACAUUUUUGGUAGAGAUGGGGUCUCACUAUGUUGCCCAGUCUGGUAUCAAACUCCUGAGUUCAAGCAAUCCUCACACCUUGGCCUCCCAAGGUGCCAAGAUUUCAAGUGUGAGCAUUACUUCCAGCCAGCUGCUUCCAUACAAUAGGAUUUGUUCUUACCAUGUUUCCUAAUGUGCUUUGUGCUAUUUCCUACUGUUCCAGGACACAAAAGUAAAAAAAAUAUUUUUAUAUAUUUGCAGGUAUAUAAUGUAUAAUGUUCAAAUACAUAUAUAUAUUGCGUUUGAUGUCUGAGUCCAGAGUUAUACCUGAAGUUUUUAUUAGUUUAACCAUUAUAAUUGGCAUCUUCCUGCUGUCAGAUUUACUCUAAUGAAGAAAUAGAUUCCUGUUUAUUGUAUUGAAGGAAGGGUGCAUUGAAUGAUGGCUAGCUUUUGAAAUGAAAAUCUCAAGAGAUAGUAAUCCAAUUUAUUAUGGGAUUUGAUAUGUUUGAUGGAGGGGACAGAAAAUACUUUUAGGGGUUAGGGUCCUAAUUUUUGGGGUUAGGGUCUUAGAGGGAGGACUUCACCUUCAAGAUCCCCUGUGGACCAAUUCCAGAUAUUGGAAACAGACAUGUGGGAGAUCUUUGGAGUCCUGUGUGGACUUGUGACCUCCUAUCCUAAGUCCGGUCAUAAAUUUUUUAGCAUUCUUGAAUUGUACAGUGAGAAAUGAGGGGCCUUGGUCAAAUGUUUCUCCUUUGUGCCAUGGUAUACUUUGGGCAUAUCUUUAACUUUGCAUUGACUGUAAGGCUCUUCAUUUUAGCUUUGUAGAUGAGAGUGUGGUGCUUAAUUUCAAAUUCUGUCUCUGCUAUCUUCUAGCUGUGUGAGCCCGGGUGAAUUACUUAUCUUUCUGAGUUUUUGUUUUCUAAUGUGUAGAAUGAGAAUAAUAAAGUGCCCAAUUCACAGUGUGAUUGUAAGAAUGAAAUAA